rnacentral:lncRNA from 1 species
UGAUAAGUAACGCGUAGCCUGGUGGUUCUGAAGAGAGAUGUCCUUCUUUUGCUCUUGAUGGUCGCAAGUUCAACCCUCACCUAUGCCAGUCUUCAUUUUUGUUCUUUUUUCUUUUGAAAAUACAUAAUGUUCACUACCCAAGAUUCUAACCCACACACUUGAACACCAAAACAUUUUCUCAAGCCACUUAAUCAAUAAAACUAUUUCUUAAAAAGUUGAUUUUUUUUUCUAUUUUUUUCUUCAAAAAACAAGCCAAUUAUUUUCAAAUAAAAACAAUAAUUCUUUUUUAAGUACACAUGUAAUAUGAUAAAAUAUAUAGUUCUAUAAAAUUAAACUUGUGCAAGUAUUAAUUUAAAAUAAAUCAUUGAUAAUUUCAAGUCAUUUGGCACACGUAGAAUAUUAUUUACGGUAUGCAAUUUAAACUUUUUAUUACUUAAAUUUUUAUAUGAAAUCUAAUUUUUUGUUUAAUUUAUAUAUUAUUAAUUUUCUAGCGGCCCCCCCUAAUUUUAUUUCCUGGUUCCGCCACUGC